rnacentral:rRNA from 1 species
UACGUAGGUGGCAAGCGUUAUCCGGAAUUAUUGGGCGUAAAGAGCGCGCAGGUGGUUAAUUAAGUCUGAUGUGAAAGCCCACGGCUUAACCGUGGAGGGUCAUUGGAAACUGGUUGACUUGAGUGCAGAAGAGGGAAGUGGAAUUCCAUGUGUAGCGGUGAAAUGCGUAGAGAUAUGGAGGAACACCAGUGGCGAAGGCGGCUUCCUGGUCUGCAACUGACACUGAGGCGCGAAAGCGCGGGGAGCAAACGGG